UACAUGUGGGGCAAGCGUUGCUCGGAAUUACUGGGCAUAAAGGGUGCGUAGGCGGUUUGUCGCGUCGGCUGUGAAAACUCGGGGCUCAACCCCGAGCCUGCAGUCGAUACGGGCAGACUAGAGUGCGGUAGGGGAGACUGGAAUUCCUGGUGUAGCGGUGAAAUGCGCAGAUAUCAGGAGGAACACCGGUGGCGAAGGCGGGUCUCUGGGCCGAUACUGACGCUGAGGAGCGAAAGCGUGGGGAGCGAACAGG
rnacentral:rRNA from 1 species